GGUAGGGUGGCGGAUCGGAUACGCGUGCGCCUGCAGAGCGCAUUCAAGAGGGUUCAACUCCCUCCCCUACCU
rnacentral:tRNA from 1 species